rnacentral:lncRNA from 1 species
CGACCCAGGGUCGGUGGCCAGCAGAGUGGCGUCGGACUCCUCCGUCGGUCGGCGAGCUUCGUGUGGGUCGGCUACCGGACCUCUGGGUUUAGUCGGUCGGGAAUGGACCGUGGAAUGGCCGCAGUUAGCCGCUGAUGGCGUCCGUCGGCCUGUCGCCCGACUUACGAUCGGCCAGGCAGAGUCGUCUGUCGGGCCGUCGGUUAGUCGGCCGGGCUGCCCGGUCGGGCCCUCCGAUAGACGGUCGGUCGGGCUGCCAGACGGUCGGGCCCUCCGAUAGACGGUCGGUCGGGCUGCCAGACGGUCGGGCCCUCCGAUAGACGGUCGGUCGGUCGGUGGGUAUCCCCCAACAA